CCAUCGGUUCUGGGGGCGGGGGGCGGGAUUGGGACCGGGGAAAAAUUAAACAGGACUGGGGGAAACCAGGAUCGGUACCGGGAGGUAUCAGGAUCGGUACCGGGGAGCAGGAGAUGGGUCCGGGGAAAAAAAGGAACAGGACUGGGGUGAUCAGAAUCGGUACCGGGGAGCACGAAAUGGGACCGGGGAAAGUGGAACAGGACCGGGGGUGAUCAGAAUCGGUACCGGGGAGCACGAAAUGGGACCGGGGAAAAAUGAAACAGGACCGGGGAGAGCAGGAUCGGUACCGGGGAGCACGAAAUGGGACCGGGGAAAAAUGAAACAGGACCGGGGAGAGCAGGAUCGGUACCGGGGAGCACGAAAUGGGACCGGGGAAAAAUGAAACAGGACCGGGGAGAGCAGGAUCGGUACCGGGGAGCACGAAAUGGGACCGGGGAAAAAUGAAACAGGACCGGGGAGAGCAGGAUCGGUACCGGGGAGCACGAAAUGGGACCGGGGAAAAAUGAAACAGGACCGGGGAGAGCAGGAUCGGUACCGGGGAGCACGAAAUGGGACCGGGGAAAAAUGAAACAGGACCGGGGAGAGCAGGAUCGGUACCGGGGAGCACGAAAUGGGACCGGGGAAAAAUGAAACAGGACCGGGGAGAGCAGGAUCGGUACCGGGGAGCACGAAAUGGGACCGGGGAAAAAUGAAACAGGACCGGGGAGAGCAGGAUCGGUACCGGGGAGCACGAAAUGGGACCGGGGAAAAAUGAAACAGGACCGGGGAGAGCAGGAUCGGUACCGGGGAGCACGAAAUGGGACCGGGGAAAAAUGAAACAGGACCGGGGAGAGCAGGAUCGGUACCGGGGAGCACGAAAUGGGACCGGGGAAAAAUGAAACAGGACUGGGGAGGAGCAGGAUCGGUACCGGGGAGGGUCAGGAUCGGGACCGGGGAGCACGGGAUGGGACCGGGGAGACUCAGUAGGAUCCAGAGGGAUAUGGGACGGUACCGGAGAGAGCAGGAUCGGUACCGGGGAGCACGAGAAGGGACCGGGGAAAAUGGAACAGGACCGGGGGGGAUCCGAAUCGGUACCGGGGAGAGCGAGAUGGGAUCGGGGAGCCUCAGCAGGAUCCGAGGGGGAUCAGGAUCGGUACCGAGGAGCAGAAGAUGGGACCGGGGAGGCGCAGCAGGAUCGGUACCGGGGGUAUGGAACGGUACCAGAGAGAGCAGGAUCGGUACCGGGGAUAUGGGGCGGUACCGGGGGAUACCAGACGGGACCCGGGGGUGCAGGACGGGACAGUCCCGGGCCCGGGGGCUGCAGGAGCGGGUCCGGGGGCUGCGGGCCAGGUCCCCGCAAAAGCCCGUCCCCGCCGCCCCCCCGGCGCUGGCCCCGCUCCCAGCCCUGCGCCCGGGGCUGCAGGGGCCGAGCUCCGCGCUUGAACCCGCCCCCGCCAGAUCUCAUUUCCCUAAAAAAAAAAAAAAAAACCCCCCCCCCCCCCCCCCCCCCCCCCCCCCCCCCCCCCCCCCCCCCCCCCCCCCCCCCCCCCCCC
ensembl:lncRNA